GAUGAACGCUAGCAGAACGCUUAACACAUGCAAGUCGAACGAGAAGUUUCACUUCGGUGAAAUGGAAAGUGGCAGACGAGCGAGUAACGCGUACCUAACCUACCCCUAAGUUGAGAACAACCAUGGAGACAUGGCUAAUUCUCAAUAGUCUCAUAGGAAUGAAAAUACUAUGAGUAAAGAUUUAUCGCUUAGGGAGGGGGGUGCGUCCUAUCAGGUAGUUGGUGGAGGUAAUGGCCUACCAAGCCUAUGACGGGUAGCCGGUUUGAGAUGAUGAUCGGCCGCGAUGGGACUGAGACACGGCCCAUACUCCUACGGGAGGCAGCAGUGGGGAAUCUUGCACAAUGGACGAAAGUCUGAUGCAGCGAUUCUGCGUGGAGGAUGAAGCAUUAAGGUGUGUAAACUUCUUUUUUGGAGGAAGACGAAUGACGGUACUCCAAGAAUAAGGGACGGCUAACUACGCGCCAGCAGCCGCGGUAAUACGUAGGUCCCAAGCGUUAUCCGGAUUUACUGGGCGUAAAGGGUCCGUAGCCGGAUGUAUAAGUCUAUUUUCAAAUACUUGGGCUCAACCGAAGGAAGGGAAUAGAUACUGUACAUCUAGAAGUUAUUGGGGGUUAAUGGAAUUUCCGGUGGAGCGGUGAAAUGUGUUGAUAUCGGAAAGAAUGCCGAAAGCGAAAGCAGUUAACUACAGUAAACUUGACGGUCAGGGACGAAAGCUUGGGGAGCGAACAGG
rnacentral:rRNA from 1 species